rnacentral:rRNA from 1 species
GUGGGGAAUCUUAGACAAUGGGCGCAAGCCUGAUCUAGCCAUGCCGCGUGAUCGAUGAAGGCCUUAGGGUUGUAAAGAUCUUUCAGUGGGGAAGAUAAUGACUGUACCCACAGAAGAAGCAUCGGCUAACUCCGUGCCAGCAGCCGCGGUAAUCCGGAUGGGGCUAGCGUUGUUCGGAAUUACUGGGCGUAAAGCGCACGUAGGCGGAACAGAAAGUCAGAGGUGAAAUCCCAGGGCUCAACCUUGGAACUGCCUUUGAAACUCCUGUUCUUGAGUUCGAGAGAGGUGAGUGGAAUUCCGAGUGUAGAGGUGAAAUUCGUAGAUAUUCGGAGGAACACCAGUGGCGAAGGCGGCUCACUGGCUCGAUACUGACGCUGAGGUGCGAAAGCGUGGGGAGCAAACAGGAUUAGAUACCCCUGUAGUCC